UUCCUCUUUAUACUUUCUCAUGUGCUCUGUGGUUCCUCUGCUGCUUUCUCAUAUUUCUAUUGUGUCGCGUGAACGAACACUCCGUGGUGGUGCUCUUAAUCCUUUUUUUUGUGUUUUCCCGAACUGCCCCUGUUCCCGCCAUGGAGGUGACGCUUCCCGCCGACGAGGGCGACGAGCUCGGCCGCUGCCGCCGCCUCCUGGCCUCUCUGUCCGCCGCCGCCUCCGACGCCCAGUCGUUCCGCAGCAGGUGGACCUCCGUCUCCGCCGCUGUCGCCCGCCUCUCCGCCGCUCUCGACGACCUCCCCGCACUCCCAACGAACCCCCUCGCCGCGGACCUCCUCCGCUCCCUCGCCCAGACACUCGCCCCAGCACUCGAUCUCGCUGCCCACUGCCGCUCCCCCGAACCCCCCGCCGCCAGGCUCCGCACCCAGAGCGAUAUCGCCGCCGCCUCCGCGGCCCUUCACCAGCUCGCUGCCGACGCCGACCUGCUUCUCCGCUCCGGUACCCUCCCCGAGCCACCUUCGCCGCCGCCGGAGGCGGCGGGGGGGAGCUCGCGCCGCGAGCUCGUCCGGUUGGAGGCCAGGAGCCUCGUGACACGCCUACAGAUUGGGAGUUCCGCUUCGAGGAUCUCCGCCUUGGAUUCUCUUCUCGACCUACUCCGCGAGGACGACAAGAACGUCGUGGUCGUCGCCGCCCAUGGGGUGGUACCGGCGCUGGUCCGCCUCCUUGACUCCACCGCGGUCGCCGCUUCCUGCCACGAGGCGAGGGACAAGGCUGCGGCGGCGAUCGCGAGGAUCUCUGCCGUGCCGAGCUGUCGCCAUCUUCUGCUGGCUGAGGGCGCAACCCUCCUCAAUCACCUCGCCCGCGUCCUCGAGUCCGAGGGCGGCGCCGCCAAGGAGAAAGCUUGCGUGGCCCUUCAAACCCUAACGCUGACCAGGGAAAAUGCGAUCAUCAUCGGGUCCCGCGGUGGAAUCGCAGCACUCCUCGAGAUCUGCCGCGCCGGAACGCCCUCCGCCCAGGCUACCGCCGCUGCAGUGCUGAAGAACCUCGCCACAGUUCAAGAACUUCGACAGAACUUCCUGGAAGAGAACGGAGUCCCCGUCCUCCUCAGGGUUUUGGCCUCGGGGAUUGCUCUUGCCCAAGAGAACGCUGUUGGUUGCCUCUGUAAUCUAUCAGCUGGCGAAGAAUCACAGAGCAUAAAGCUGUCUAUCUUUAAAGAGGGGGCUUUGGAAUGCAUAAAGAACUACUGGGAAGCAGGCGGCAGUGCAGAUGAUCGAAAUCUCGAGCCUGCAAUCGGUUUACUAAGAAAUCUGGCAUCGUUUAGGUACAUUGCUGAGAUCAUUGUCACUGCUGGCUUCCUUCCUCUCAUUAUUGCUGCACUGGAAGACAGCAAGCCAGGAACAAGAACGGAGGCAGCCAAGUCAGUCGCUGAAUUGGGUUUGGUCAUACGGAGGGCGAGGAAGGAGCUUGGGGAUGCCGUGUCUCGACUAGUCCGCAUGUUGGAGGCCAAAGCUGUGGAAGAGAAGGAAGCUGCCACAAGGGCUUUGGCCUCACUCAUGUCGUUCCCCGGAUACCAAAGGUUGUUAAGGAAGGAGGAGAAGGGGAUUGUAAAUGUAGUUCAGCUCCUUGAUCCCCUGGUCCUUGAUUUCGAUAAGAGGUAUGCAAUCUCGGUAUUGCGAUCAAUUUUGCAGUCAAGGAAGUGCAGGAAGCAAAUGGUGGCUGCAGGAGCUUGCGGGUACCUGCAGAGACUUGUGGAGAUGGAGGUGGAUGGAGCAAAGAAGCUUCUUGAGAACUUGGGAAGGGGAAAGAUAUUGGGGGUGUUUCCAAGAACUUAGUUACAGAGUCAGCAACAAGAAGGAUCCAGCGUUUGAAGGUUACUUCUUGAUCUGGAUUACAAGACCUUGGAGUACUUAAGUAGUGGUAAAGCAAUGGAAAGAUUGGGAAGGACUAGAAGAGCCUGAGAUCUUAUUAUGUCCAGUCUAAGCGCUACAGGAAAAGAUAUAUCAGGAGCGAUCAGGGUUUGGGUCAUCUAUCCAAAGGUCAAGUUUAGAUAUCAGAGUGACAUAUUUUAGAUAUCAGGACUUCAAUUGCCCGCAUGGAUCCUCCUUGCACCCCAACAUUGUUAAAGCCUCGGAUUGGGUCAUCUAUCCGACGGUCAAGUUUCUUCGGCAAAAGCAACAUUGUCAAGUUUUUAUGCUAAGCAUCCUGCAUCACUGUUGCGAGUCCUGCAGAUUGAUUGAAACCUGAAAGGUGGAGAGGAUGAAGGGAAGGCACUGAUGGAGUGGUGGCAGCUACCAGAAGCAAAUUUUGUGGUUCUCAAUGUUCAUUACCUACAGGAGAAGACCAUAUUGUAUGUGCCUACUUUAUAACUGCUGCAACUUUUGGCAUCUCUGUUUCCGUGGAGGAGAGAGGUUGACCAGUAGAAGUGCCAUGCUUCUAUUGUUCUUCAUUUGCCAACACCCCAUCCUUGGUACAAGAACACAACUAAACAAAAAGGAGAAGACAAUGCAUAUUAUAGACCUUUCCCCAGGUUACAGUAUGAAGAACAUGACCAUCUCAUGUCUUUUACAACAUAAACCUAGCAUUGACAGAAACUUUGUAAGUGGUGCCAAUCUUCUUUUAGUCCAAAUGAUCAAUCACUGCAACCUUAUAUCUUAUUCAUGCAUAUUUUGUGUCUUUUGCAGCAGAGGAAAAGAUUUCUCCACCUGGUUCCGUCAACAUAAAUCCAUCUUGGUUUGCAAAACUCGAUCAUGAGUCCUUCCACUUCAAACAGGUAAAAAGAGAACGCAAAAAAGGAUCACCGAAGCACAAAUUCAUGGUGUUGUGGCAUAAAAACAAGAAAAGGAAACCAAGAGACUAAAACAACAAGAAGGCCAACACUGAUUGCUUUCAGGAACAGCGGUAGACUCUGAUUCUUCUUCUCGGUGGAGGCUGACACAGGAGCUGAACCAGCACUACAACCAAGACAGCCACGAGAAGGCUUAAGAGAGCAGAGCCGACAUCACCACCACCACCACCACCCGAAGAGCAGCAGAGCAUCCCCAUCUCCUUCACCCUCCAGUCUACUACGACACUUUUAACUUAGCAGAAAAGGAUGACGCCCAUAAAUAUAUAGGUGGCCAAGGCAUCAAAAAAGCUCACCUAUCUUUAAUGUCACAGCUGAACCAACCAGUGAGUGGCACUUUGUUUCUCUGGUAGAGACGCAUGCAUGGUGGCAGCAGCCAUGUCUGUACUCUGCUUCUGCAAUUAAACAGGAUGCAAGGAAAGAAAGAAAGAGACGAGGCCAAAUGAAAUCUCACUCGGUCACCUUUGGUAAACCAUCAUUUGCAAUGUCAAAUGAUACCUCAUUCUCCAAUAGUUUUU